UACGUAGGGUGCGAGCGUUGUCCGGAAUUAUUGGGCGUAAAGAGCUCGUAGGCGGCUUGUCGCGUCGACUGUGAAAACCCGUGGCUCAACCAUGUGGUCUGCAGUCGAUACGGGCAGGCUAGAAUUCGGUAGGGGAGACUGGAAUUCCUGGUGUAGCGGUGAAAUGCGCAGAUAUCAGGAGGAACACCGGUGGCGAAGGCGGGUCUCUGGGCCGAUAUUGACGCUGAGGAGCGAAAGCGUGGGGAGCGAACAGG
rnacentral:rRNA from 1 species